rnacentral:rRNA from 1 species
UGCGCAGGCGGACUAUUAAGUCAGUGGUGAAAUCUCUCGGCUCAACCGAGAAACUGCCAUUGAAACUGAUAGUCUUGAGUAUAGUUGUAGUGGGCGGAAUAUAGCAUGUAGCGGUGAAAUGCUUAGAUAUGCUAUAGAACACCGAUCGCGAAGGCAGCUCACUAAACUAUAACUGACGCUCAGGCACGAAAGCGUGGGGAGCAAACAGGAUUAGAUACCCUGGUAGUCC